AUAAAGACGAUGAUAGGAAGAGUACGUAUGUGAAGUAGUUUAAGCGAGUUGGUGGUGGUGAGAGACCAAUACGACGCACAUAUCGAAGAACAUCCUUGAGUUUCUAACUGAAAUCCUUUGGUGAGAGUAGGCUUAGACGGAUUCAACCCGUUAACCGUUGAAAAGCAUCGAAUAGAUAGGCUAUUCUGUGCUUAUUGAGCUGAACUAAUUUAUUUAGUUAAUCAGGGUGGUACCGCGAAGUAACCUUUCGUCCCUUUU
rfam:Clostridium formicaceticum strain ATCC 27076, complete genome.